rnacentral:rRNA from 1 species
UACGUAGGGCGCAAGCGUUGUCCGCAAUUAUUGGGCGUAAAGAGCUCGUAGGCGGCCUGUUACGUCUGCUGUGAAAUCCCGGGGCUUAACCCCGGGCGUGCAGUGGAUACGGGCAGGCUGGAGGCAGGCAGGGGAGAACGGAAUUCCCGGUGUAGCGGUGAAAUGCGCAGAUAUCGGGAGGAACACCGGUGGCGAAGGCGGUUCUCUGGGCCUGUACUGACGCUGAGGAGCGAAAGCGUGGGGAGCGAACAGG